rnacentral:rRNA from 1 species
CUACGGGACGCUCCAGUGGGGAAUAUUGCACAAUGGGGGAAACCCUGAUGCAGCCAUGCCGCGUGUGUGAAGAAGGCUUUCGGGUUGUAAAGCACUUUCAGUGGGGAGGAAAGGGUGCAGAUUAAUACUCUGUAUCUGUGACGUUACCCACAGAAGAAGCACCGGCUAAGUCCGUGCCAGCAGCCGCGGUAAUACGGAGGGUGCGAGCGUUAAUCGGAAUUACUGGGCGUAAAGCGCGCGUAGGUGGUUAAUUAAGUCAGAUGUGAAAGCCCAGGGCUCAACCCUGGAACAGCAUUUGAAACUGGUUAACUAGAGUUUUGUAGAGGGUGGUAGAAUUUCAGGUGUAGCGGUGAAAUGCGUAGAGAUCUGAAGGAAUACCAGUGGCGAAGGCGGCCACCUGGACAGAGACUGACACUGAGGCGCGAAGGCGUGGGGAGCAAACGGGAUUAGAUACCCUAGUAGUC